rnacentral:piRNA from 1 species
UGGCUUGAACCUCAGAAGGAAAUAAACAGU